rnacentral:rRNA from 1 species
UACGGAGGAUCCAAGCGUUAUCCGGAUUUAUUGGGUUUAAAGGGUGCGUAGGCGGAUUAUUAAGUCAGUGGUGAAAUCCUGCAGCUUAACUGCAGAACUGCCAUUGAUACUGAUGAUCUUGAGUACAGUUGAGGUGGGCGGAAUGUGUCAUGUAGCGGUGAAAUGCUUAGAUAUGACACAGAACACCAAUUGCGAAGGCAGCUCGCUAAACUGUAACUGACGCUGAGGCACGAAAGCAUGGGGAUCAAACAGG